GAGUUACGAUUUGAUGCAAGGUUAAGCAGUAAAUGUGGAGCCGUAGCGAAAGCGAGUCUGAAUAGGGCGUUUAGUAUUUGGUCGUAGACCCGAAACCAGGUGAUCUACCCUUGGUCAGGUUGAAGUUCAGGUAACACUGAAUGGAGGACCGAACCGACUUACGUUGAAAAGUGAGCGGAUGAACUGAGGGUAGCGGAGAAAUUCCAAUCGAACCUGGAGAUAGCUGGUUCUCUCCGAAAUAGCUUUAGGGCUAGCCUCAAGUGAUGAUUAUUGGAGGUAGAGCACUGUUUGGACGAGGGGCCCCUCUCGGGUUACCGAAUUCAGACAAACUCCGAAUGCCAAUUAAUUUAACUUGGGAGUCAGAACAUGGGUGAUAAGGUCCGUGUUCGAAAGGGAAACAGCCCAGACCACCAGCUAAGGUCCCAAAAUAUAUGUUAAGUGGAAAAGGAUGUGGCGUUGCCCAGACAACUAGGAUGUUGGCUUAGAAGCAGCCAUCAUUUAAAGAGUGCGUAAUAGCUCACUAGUCGAGUGACACUGCGCCGAAAAUGUACCGGGGCUAAACAUAUUACCGAAGCUGUGGAUUGUCCUUUGGACAAUGGUAGGAGAGCGUUCUAAGGGCGUUGAAGCAUGAUCGUAAGGACAUGUGGAGCGCUUAGAAGUGAGAAUGCCGGUGUGAGUAGCGAAAGACGGGUGAGAAUCCCGUCCACCGAUUGACUAAGGUUUCCAGAGGAAGGCUCGUCCGCUCUGGGUUAGUCGGGUCCUAAGCUGAGGCCGACAGGCGUAGGCGAUGGAUAACAGGUUGAUAUUCCUGUACCACCUAUAAUCGUUUUAAUCGAUGGGGGGACGCAGUAGGAUAGGCGAAGCGUGCGAUUGGAUUGCACGUCUAAGCAGUAAGGCUGAGUAUUAGGCAAAUCCGGUACUCGUUAAGGCUGAGC
rnacentral:rRNA from 1 species